GUCUCCGCUCCUGUGGGAGGCCCGGGGCUCGCAGCGCGUUCGGGUGCCAGGGACGAGCCGAGCUGCUGCCCUUGACUGGUGCUCAGGGGACCACAGCUGCAAUGACAGUUUGGGCCUGCAAAAAGAAGGCUGGAACAACGGGAGAUGGAAGCUUUCUGCAAAUGCAGCACCACUGGUAUCCAUGAAUUUAACCUGCCCAUCAUUCUUCCUAGACAAGAGACUAUUGAAAAGUCAGGGUGUUCAAAAUGGCUUCAGAUCUUGUCAGGACAAUCUUGGUUGUUGCACUAAUUUCCAAACUUGUAAGUGCAAUGGAUCUGCAGUUCUACUUGGCAAGAUAACCAUUUUAAGUUGAAUGAGAAUGACAUCACACUCACACCUGCAAAAUCUAAAAUGUCUAAUAAAGUAGAUUCCUAUGUCUGAACUUCAAUUUUAGGGCACAGCUGUAGAUGCAGAACUGAUGCCAUCUGGUGCGAUUCUACAGAAUAAGAGAGAAAAUUUACCCAGAGUGUGCCAUGCACUGGCUUUUCUGGGAAUGGCAAGGUGCCAGGAUUUGUUUUUGGUUCGCUUGCAGGG
rnacentral:sRNA from 1 species